UCAUUAAAAUCAAAUUCCACUGGGAGAAAUUACACACUUGCACCGUGAUUGGGAAGAACAGGCCGCGUUCACUCAACCACUGAUGGAACUGGAGGGUCAUCAGAUGAGGCCUUGGAUCCAUUUUGAACUCAUUUUGUGGAUGGUGUGAGCAGGUAGUGAUCUCAGCUGGUCUUGAACUGCAAACUGGCUCCUAGCUACAGCUCCAGCCUCAGUUCAGAUCUUCUGUUGUUAGCGGGUGGCUUGCGCAUGUGUGGUUCAGUCCGUCAGAAAGG